rnacentral:rRNA from 1 species
GACGAACGCUGGCGGCGUGCUUAACACAUGCAAGUCGAGCGGUAAGGCCCUUUCGGGGGUACGACGAGCGGCGAACGGGUGAGUAACACGUGGGUGACCUGCCCUUAGCUCUGGGAUAAGCCUGGGAAACUGGGUCUAAUACCGGAUAUGACUCCAUGACGCAUGUUGUGGGGUGGAAAGCCUUGUGCGGCUAGGGAUGGGCCCGCGGCCUAUCAGCUUGUUGGUGGGGUGAUGGCCUACCAAGGCGACGACGGGUAGCCGGCCUGAGAGGGCGACCGGCCACACUGGGACUGAGACACGGCCCAGACUCCUACGGGAGGCAGCAGUGGGGAAUCUUGCGCAAUGGGCGAAAGCCUGACGCAGCGACGCCGCGUGAGGGAUGACGGCCUCGG